UACGUAGGGUGCGAGCGUUAAUCGGAAUUACUGGGCGUAAAGCGUGCGCAGGCGGUGAUGUAAGACAGGUGUGAAAUCCCCGGGCUUAACCUGGGAACUGCAUUUGUGACUGCAUAGCUAGAGUACGGUAGAGGGGGAUGGAAUUCCGCGUGUAGCGGUGAAAUGCGUAGAUAUCGGAAGGAACACCUGUGGCGAAAGCGGCUCACUGGACCAUUACUGACGCUGAGGCACGAAAGCGUGGGGAGCAAACAGG
rnacentral:rRNA from 1 species